rnacentral:rRNA from 1 species
UACGGAGGGUGCAAGCAUUAAUCGGAAUUAUUGGGCGUAAAGGGCGCGUAGGCGGCGAUGUAAGUCAGGUGUGAAAUCCCGGAGCUUAACUCCGGAACAGCACUUGAAACUGCAUUGCUAGAGGGUAGGCGGAGAAAACGGAAUUCCACAAGUAGCGGUGAAAUGCGUAGAUAUGUGGAAGAACAUCUGUGGCGAAAGCGGUUUUCUAGCUUACACCUGACGCUGAGGCGCGAAAGCAAGGGGAGCAAACAGG